UGUAGGCGCUCCCCCCCACCCUGGGGGGCUCCACAUGAGGUCAGCAUCUGGGCCGCUUUGCCAGGGUCAGAAGACUGUUCUUCCAGGAAGGGCUGCAGAGACCCUGGGAACGGGACCAGCCCAGCUCACAAGUAUGAAGAGAAUGUCGGAGAGGAAGUGGUGGCUGUGAGUCAGCAUGAGUCAUCUCGUUCCAAUGAGAACGAAGACUGAGUCAUGUGGACAUCAUUGGGAAUGGAGGGAAAGAGUGACUGCAUGCCUGGUGCUUGCUGAGCCGCGGGCUGGUAUUCCAGAAGGGCUGUGCCUGAGUCGGUGUCUGCUUCAGACCUUCGCGGCCCCGGCGGGGAAGGUGGAGUCAGCCGCUUGUCCCUGAAUAACUGGGAGAUGAAACAGGAAGCUGUAUGACACAGUUGAUCGAAAAUGACACAGACACAGAAAAAUCAGGACUCGGCCCCCUCCAGUGCCUCUACCUGCUGCCCACAGCCGGAGUGCAGGUGAAGGGUUUCCCCUGGGGCCUGAUCCUAACUGCUGUGGACUCCAAGGGCCUCCACAUUCACGAUGAUGUGUUUGUGAUGUCGUGGUCACAGUCUCGUCUAGCCAGUUUCCUAUUGAUCUGACCAGUCCCUGUGUGUCUUAAUCCCUUUUCCUUCAUUAAAAGCAAAACUCAA